UGAAAGCUAGCUCAGUUGGUAGAGCAUCAGACUCAUAAUCUGACGGUCACAGGUUCAAAUCCUGUACUUUCCA
rnacentral:tRNA from 1 species